rnacentral:rRNA from 1 species
UCAUGGUCGAAGCAAAAGUGUUAAGUAGACCGCCUGGGAAGUACGGUCGCAAGGCUAAAACUCAAAGAAAUUGACGGGGGCUCACACAAGCGGUGGAGCAUGUGGUUCAAUUCGAAGCAACGCGAAGAACCUUACCUGGGCUUGACAUAGCUAGGAUUAUCUCGGUGAAAGUCGAGUAGGCCUCGCAAGAGGUACAACUAGUACAGGUGCUGCAUGGCUGUCGUCAGCUCGUGUCGUGAGAUGUCGGGUUAAGUCCCUUAACGAGCGAAACCUUUGCCCUUAGUUACCAGCGGGUCAUGCCGGGGACUCUAGGGGGACUGCCGGUGUCAAACCGGAGGAAGGUGGAGAUGACGUCAAGUCCUCAUGGCCUUUAUGCCCAGGGCUACACACGUGCUACAAUGGCGUCCACAAAGCGAACCGAAAACGCGAGUUCGAGGAAAUCGCAGAAAUGACGCCUCAGUUCAGAUUGGAGGCUGCAACUCGCCUCCAUGAAGCUGGAAUCGCUAGUAAUCGCGGAUCAGCUACGCCGCGGUGAUGUGUUCCUGAGC